UACGUAGGGGGCGAGCGUUUGUCCGGAUUUAUUGGGCGUAAAGAGCUCGUAGGCGGUUCGGUAAGUCGGAUGUGAAAUCUCCACGCUCAACGUGGAGGGGCCAUUCGAUACUGCCGUGACUCGAGUCCGGUAGGGGAGUGUGGAAUUCCCGGUGUAGCGGUGAAAUGCGUGAGAUAUCGUAAGGAAGACCAGUGGCGAAGGCGGGUCUCUGGACAGUUCCUGACGCUGAGGCACGAAGGCCAGGGGAGCAAACGGG
rnacentral:rRNA from 1 species